rnacentral:tRNA from 1 species
AGGGAUAUAGCUCAGGGCAAAGCACCUGCCUGGCAAGCAGGAGGUUGGGCGUUUGAUCCCUG